UGGAGCAGUGUGGGCAGUUGGUCAGGGGCUUCUCUUCUCUGAGUUAUCCUUCAUACCAUUGAUGUCUCUGACACAGUUUGGCAGAUUCCUGGAUCUGCUGGUGUGGACAGAUUUUUAUAUCUGUUGAGGUGCAACUGGUCCCACUUUGACAUCUGCGGCAUUAUGCCAGCCUGUGGCACCUGUUGUCAUGCAGGCGCAAAGCUCUAUGAGCCUGUCAUCACACGCUCACCCCUCCAAGUCUUCAAUACCCUACUGUUCUCAUGCCAUGUUAGGGACAGCAGUGCACUGAAUAUGGAGCAUUUCAGGAUGGCUUCUCCCAGAACAGACUUCCAGCCAGGAAUUUGAGUGUAUGUGAAUUCUUAAGGAAGUACUUCCAGAAGAAAUUGACAAAGAAGUAGAGGAAGCAGAUAUAGAAGGGGAAAGAUGCAGAUUGGGGAAGACAGGAGUUUAAGCAUUUGCAUCUCUUAUGGUGAUGGUACGACAGCAGCAGUUACAAGAAACAUCCAGAGGGCCUGGGAGAGCACACCCAAUGAAAACAUCUCCUACCAUGAGAGACCAGAAUCAAGCAGAGAAUAGUUGCUCCCAGUAGACCAAGAGCUCCUUUCACGCAACUGAAAUUCAAUUGACAUCCCAGCUAGAGCCCCAGCGGGAGCUGCCCAAGAGCAUCUGAGUGCAGGUUUGGACACUUCUUACUCUGAACACAUGACCACAGAGAGAAGACAUUUCUUUUGCUGGCCUAUCCGACAGCUAGAUGUGGAGACAGAAUGAGAUGCAGUGCACAUCGAGCUACGUCUGAUGAAAUAUAUGAUACAUGAAUAAAAUUGAUGUGCCCAGUUGUGAGGUCA